CUGGCUGCUCUUCCAGAAGACCUGA
rnacentral:piRNA from 1 species